GAGUCGAUCCUGGCUCAGACUCAAGUCGUAACAAGGUAUCCGUAGAGUUUGAUACUGGUGUCAUAACACGUGGGUAACCUAGCUAUAAGACUGGGAUAACUUCGGGAAACCGGAGCUAAUACCGGAUAACAUUUGGAACCGCAUGGUUCUAAAGUGAAAGAUGGUUUUGCUAUCACUUAUAGAUGGACCCGCGCCGUAUUAGCUAGUUGGUAAGGUAACGGCUUACCAAGGCGACGAUACGUAGCCGACCUGAGAGGGUGAUCGGCCACACUGGAACUGAGACACGGUCCAGACUCCUACGGGAGGCAGCAGUAGGGAAUCUUCCGCAAUGGGCGAAAGCCUGACGGAGCAACGCCGCGUGAGUGAUGAAGGGUUUCGGCUCGUAAAACUCUGUUAUUAGGGAAGAACAAAUGUGUAAGUAACUGUGCACGUCUUGACGGUACCUAAUCAGAAAGCCACGGCUAACUACGUGCCAGCAGCCGCGGUAAUACGUAGGUGGCAAGCGUUAUCCGGAAUUAUUGGGCGUAAAGCGCGCGUAGGCGGUUUCUUAAGUCUGAUGUGAAAGCCCACGGCUCAACCGUGGAGGGUCAUUGGAAACUGGGAAACUUGAGUGCAGAAGAGGAAAGUGGAAUUCCAUGUGUAGCGGUGAAAUGCGCAGAGAUAUGGAGGAACACCAGUGGCGAAGGCGA
rnacentral:rRNA from 1 species